rnacentral:rRNA from 1 species
GUAAUGCGAAUUGCAGAAUUCAGUGAAUCAUCAAAUCUUUGAACGCAACUUGCGCCCUUGGGAUAUGCCUGGGGGCAUGCCUUUUUGAGUAUCGGA